AUUGACCGCUAGCGGGAUGCCUUACACAUGCAAGUCGAACGGAGUGGCGAACGGGUGAGUAAUGUAUCGGAACGUGACCAGUCGCGGGGGAUAACUACGCGCAAGCGUAGCUAAUACCGCAUACUAUUGGAGCGGCCGAUAUCGGAUUAGCUAGUUGGUGGGGGAACGGCUCACCAAGUCGACGAUCCGUAGCUGGUUUGAGAGGACGCCCAGCCACACUGGAACUGAGACACGGCCCAGACUCCUACGGUAGGCAGCAGUGGGGAAUGUUGGAACAUGGGGGCACCCCUGAUCCAGCCAUCCCGCGUGUGCGAUGAAGGCCUUCGGGUUGUAAAGCACUUUUGGCAGGAAAGCGGUACCUGCAGAAUAAGCACCGGCUAACUACGUGCCAGCAGCCGCGGUAAUAC
rnacentral:rRNA from 1 species